rnacentral:sRNA from 1 species
GCCUAGUACAGUUCUAACACCUGUAUUCUCAGCACUUGUGAGGCCAAGGCAGGUGGAUCGCUUGAGUUCAGGAGUUUGAUACCAGCCUGGGCAACAUGGCGAAACCCCGUCUCUACUAAAAAUACAAAAAAAUUAGCCCGGGGGGCCAAAUUCUGGCUAAUUUUUGUAUUUUUAGUAGAGACGGGGUUUCGCCAUGUUGCCCAGGCUGGUAUCAAACUCCUGAACUCAAGCGAUCCACCUGCCUU